AUUGAACGCUGGCGGCAGGCUUAACACAUGCAAGUCGAGCGGAGAGAGGUAGCUUGCUACUGAUCUUAGCGGCGGACGGGUGAGUAAUGCUUAGGAAUCUGCCUAUUAGUGGGGGACAACAUUUCGAAAGGAAUGCUAAUACCGCAUACGUCCUACGGGAGAAAGCAGGGGAUCUUCGGACCUUGCGAUAAUAGAUGAGCCUAAGUCGGAUUAGCUAGUUGGAGGGGUAAAGGCCUACCAAGGCGACGAUCUGUAGCGGGUCUGAGAGGAUGAUCCGCCACAAUGGGACUGGGACACGGCCCGGACUCCUACGGGAGGCAGCAGUGGGGAAUAUUGGACAAUGGGCGGAAGCCUGAUCCAGCCAUGCCGCGUGUGUGAAGAAGGCCUUAUGGUUGUAAAGCACUUUAAGCGAGGAGGAGGCUACUUUAGUUAAUACCUAGAGAUAGUGGACGUUACUCGCAGAAUAAGCACCGGCUAACUCUGUGCCAGCAGCCGCCGUAAAAC
rnacentral:rRNA from 1 species